rnacentral:tRNA from 1 species
UGCAUCGGCCGGGAAUCGAACCCGCGAGGCAGGUGAGAAUUCUACCACUAAACCACCGAUGC